GAUGAACGCUAGCGGCAGGCCUAACACAUGCAAGUCGAGGGGUAACAGGAAAGCUUGCUUUCGCUGACGACCGGCGCACGGGUGCGUAACGCGUAUGCAACUUGCCCUCAACUGGGAAAUAGCCCGGAGAAAUUCGGAUUAAUGUCCCAUAGCAUCACAUCACCGCAUGAUGAUGUGAUUAAAGCUUCGGCGGUUGAGGAUGGGCAUGCGUCCUAUUAGCUUGUUGGUGAGGUAACGGCUCACCAAGGCUGCGAUAGGUAGGGGGCCUGAGAGGGUAAUCCCCCACACUGGUACUGAGACACGGACCAGACUCCUACGGGAGGCAGCAGUGAGGAAUAUUGGUCAAUGGACGAAAGUCUGAACCAGCCAUGCCGCGUGCAGGAUGACGGCCCUACGGGUUGUAAACUGCUUUUAUAAGGGAAUAAACCCCCCGACGUGUCGGGGGCUGAAGGUACCUUACGAAUAAGGAUCGGCUAACUCCG
rnacentral:rRNA from 1 species